rnacentral:rRNA from 1 species
AUUGAACGCUGGCGGCAUGCUUUACACAUGCAAGUCGAACGGUAACAGGCCGCAAGGUGCUGACGAGUGGCGCACGGGUGCGUAAUGCAUCGGAACGUGCCCAGUCGUGGGGGAUAACUACUCGAAAGAGUAGCUAAUACCGCAUACGAUCUAUGGAUGAAAGCGGGGGACCGUAAGGCCUCGCGCGAUUGGAGCGGCCGAUGUCAGAUUAGGUAGUUGGUGGGGUAAAGGCUCACCAAGCCAACGAUCUGUAGCUGGUCUGAGAGGACGACCAGCCACACUGGGACUGAGACACGGCCCAGACUCCUACGGGAGGCAGCAGUGGGGAAUUUUGGACAAUGGGCGCAAGCCUGAUCCAGCAAUGCCGCGUGCAGGAAGAAGGCCUUCGGGUUGUAAACUGCUUUUGUACGGAACGAAACGGCUCUGGUUAAUACCCGGGGCUAAUGACGGUACCGGAAGAAUAAGCACCGGCUAACUACGUG